UACGGGGGGGGCAAGCGUUGUCCGGAAUCAUUGGGCGUAAAGCGCGCGUAGGCGGCCCGGUAAGUCCGCUGUAAAAGUCCAGGGCUCAACCCUGGAAAGCCGGUGGAUACUGUCGGGCUAGAGUCCGGAAGAGGCGAGUGGAAUUCCUGGUGUAGCGGUGGAAUGCGCAGAUAUCAGGAGGAACACCAAUAGCGAAGGCAGCUCGCUGGGACGUUACUGACACUGAGGCGCGAAAGCGUGGGGAGCGAACAGG
rnacentral:rRNA from 1 species